CAAUAGCGUAUAUUAAAGUUGUUGCAGUUAAAAAGCUCGUAGUUGGAUUUCUGGUAUGCUGCGCCUGGCCCGCCUCGUUUAGAGUGUGAGUGCCGGUGCGCGGUUACCAUCCUUCUAGAAAACGCGUCUGCCCUUCAUUGGGUUGGGCGCGCAAUCUAGAUCUUUUACUUUGAAAAAUUAGAGUGUUCAAAGCAGGCGUUUGCUUGAAUAUAUUAGCAUGGAAUAAUGGAAUAGGACGCUGGUUCUAUUUUGUUGGUUUUGAGAACCAGAGUAAUGAUUAAUAGGGACAGUUGGGGGCAUUCAUAUUUCAUUGUCAGAGGUGAAAUUCUUGGAUUUAUGAAAGAUGAACUUCUGCGAAAGCAUUUGCCAAGGAUGUUUUCAUUAAUCAAGAACGAAAGUUAGGGGAUCGAAGAUGAUCAGAUACCGU
rnacentral:rRNA from 1 species